GACGAACGCUGGCGGCGUGCUUAACACAUGCAAGUGGAGCGACGAACCGGGGCUUGCCCCGGGGCAGAGCCGCGAACGGGUGAGUAACACGUGGGUAACCCACCCCGAUGAUUGGGACAACCCGGGGAAACUCGGGCUAAUACCAAAUGUGCUCGAAGACCACGAGGUCUCCGAGUAAAGAUAGCUUCGGCCUUCGCAUCGGGACGGGCCCGCGGCCCAUUAGCUUGUUGGUGAGGUAACGGCUCACCAAGGCUGCGAUGGGUAGCUGGUCUGAGAGGACGAUCAGCCACACUGGGACUGAGACACGGCCCAGACUCCUACGGGAGGCAGCAGUGGGGAAUCUUGCGCAAUGCGCGAAAGCGUGACGCAGCAACGCCGCGUGGAGGAAGACGGUCUUCGGAUUGUAAACUCCUUUCAGUUGGGACGAAGCUCACCGGGUUAAUAGCCCGGCGGAGUGACGGUACCUUCAGAAGAAGCCCCGGCUAACUACGUGCCAGCCGCCGCGGUAAGAC
rnacentral:rRNA from 1 species